rnacentral:lncRNA from 1 species
GAAUCAUCAGAAGGCGGAGCCGAGGAUAUUCACGAAUCAGUGCAGAAUAAUGUGGUCACCUCUCCUUCCCCUCCACAUGGUGAGGUAGAAAUGCAUGAAAUAGGCCUCAGUGAUGAAAUUCCUGCUGCUCAAAAUUCAGGAGCAAGAACUGACUAAUUCAUAUAUAGGAAAUGUAUAAAAGCUAUAGUAACUUAAGAGAAACAGUGGGAAAUGAAAAUGUAAUUAUAUGUUUGUAAAUUGUAACUGUCAAUUGCCUUAAGUGGUUUUCACCUUUACAUAAUUCCUUGUUAUUCUUGUUGGUUUCUCAGAUUUUGAAUGUCAACUUUUUU